UGGGGAAUCUUGCGCAAUGGGCGAAAGCCUGACGCAGCGACGCCGCGUGCAGGAAGAAGGCCUUCGGGUUGUAAACCGCUUUCAGGAGGGACGAGGCCACUCGGGUUAAUAGCCCAGAGGGUGACGGUACCUCCAGAAGAAGCCCCGGCUAACUACGUGCCAGCAGCCGCGGUAAUACGUAGGGGGCUAGCGUUGUCCGGAUUUAUUGGGCGUAAAGAGCGCGUAGGCGGCCGAGUAAGUCCGACGUGAAAUCUGGAGGCUCAACCUCCAGCGGUCGUUGGAAACUACUCGGCUAGAGUCCGGAAGAGGAGAGUGGAAUUCCUGGUGUAGCGGUGAAAUGCGCAGAUAUCAGGAAGAACACCGAUGGCGAAGGCAGCUCUCUGGGACGGUACUGACGCUGAGGCGCGAAAGCGUGGGGAGCGAACAGGAUUAGAUACCCUGGUAGUCCACGCCGUAAACGAUGGGUGCUAGGUGUGGGCGGUGUCGACUCCGCCCGUGCCGAAGCUAACG
rnacentral:rRNA from 1 species